CAUGACCAUGAGCCUUAACAUUGCUGCCGGAAGGAUGGGAGCAGGAGGGGAAGGUAGCAUGGUAGCAGACUGGAGAGAACCUACAAAAUAAGACACCACAACUCAUCUAAAAACUGUAGCGAAUGUAUGUUUCAGGGAGUGGAUGUAAAACCGGAGAUCAGAGAGAAAGGAGAAAAGAAAUAAUCUGUUUUUCAGUUGAUAACACAAGAACCAAAACAGAGAGGGGCACUAUGGCAAUAAAAUUCUAGUACUUUCCCAAUUGGAGAGAGAAUCUGGCCCUCUGUGGGUGUUUUCCACCCCUAAAUUCAGAAAUACAGACAAUCAAAACUUAAUUUGCCCCAGUGAAAACUGCUGGCAGGGUUGAAAUGUCAGGAUGAAGGACAAAAAAGAAAACCUUUGAUUGUCCUAAGCCUUUAAUUAUUGAAAUUCAUGAUUUUUACUGAAUGGAGAUAUUUGCAUAUGAAUAUUUUUUAUCAUUGCCCUGGGCACUUUGAAGACAUCAUAUCAUAACUUAAACACUGAAGUUCCACAUUUCCUUAGGCCUUAGAAUAUCUCUUUUCCUAGUUCCUUUUUCUUUCCUAAAGCUCAAUUAGAAUAGUAAAAUUCAGGCAGGGCUGGCGGGUGUAACUCAGUGGUGGAAUGCAUGCCUAGCUUGCACAAGGCCCUGGGUUCCAUCUCCAGAACCACAAAUAAAGAAGAAAAAUUCAUAGUCUAGCAAAUACUAUAGCAAGUGUUGCUGUCAAGUGUUUUUCUGAAUUUCAAGUGUGAGCUGUGUAUUGUCUAUUGUUGGUAAUUUUUAAAAUGCCUUUAUGUAUGUAAUCUCUAUGAAGCUAUUAGUCAAACUGUAAAAUUUGCUCUUGGUAAAAAUCACUCAUCUCAAAGAUCAGGGUAACCACUACAAAGCUGUGUCAUUUCUGCUUUUGAUGUAAUACUGUGUCCCUUGGGACAGACAGACAGGCUAAGAAAGGCACCAGUUGAUUGUGGAAGCAAUAUUGUUUGACUUUAUACUAUUAGUUUAAGAGAUGAGUGAACUCCCUGGCUGGUCACCUUACCUUCCAAGACACAGGGUCCACUAGAAUUGGUUACAAUACCCAUUGAACCAAGUUAUCAUAUUAAAUUAAACCCUGCUGUAAACACAUAGAAGUUGUGAAACUGCUUCAAGUAAAUAGUGGUUUACAGAACACUUUAGCAGCAUCUGUCACUUUAAUAUGCAAAACAUGCAUUUACCCCUAUCCUGAAGUUUGAUCCUGGACAUUUUCAUAUUUCACAGUAAGGAGGAAAUUGUACUGUAUAGGACUUAAUUAUUUAAAUAGUCAUUAGAUAUUUGGAUAUAUAUGUAUAUAUAUAUGUACGUGUGUGUAUAUAUGCUACAUCUAUCCUUAUGUAAACCUAAGCACUUAUCCUAUAGUUUGGUAGUUCCUAAUCUGAGUCAUUGGUAGAUUUUGAGAGGAGUUAGGGAAUACUCUGUUGCCUAAAACAUUUGUAUGUAUGUUGGUGUGCAUAGGUGCACACACCUAGGUGUGUUUAUGUGUGUGUUUGUGUGUGUAUGCGCGCACACAUUCAGCAUGUGCUCCUUUUUGGGGGAAAAAGACUUCUAGUAUUCAAGAGAUUCACAAAGAAUCUUACCAAAGAAAGGUAAGAAUUGAUGUUGUAUAUUUUGUGACUCUUUGUACUUUUGCACUAAUCAAAACAAACUAGAGGAACUGCAGAUAUAGCUCAGUUGGUAGGGUGCUUGCCUUGAAGGCACAAGGUUCUGGGUUCAAUCCCCAGUACCACCAAAAAAAAAAAAAAAAAACUAGAAUGGAGGCACACACCUGCAAUCUCAGCUACAUGGGAAGCCGAGGCAGGAAGA
rnacentral:lncRNA from 1 species